rnacentral:misc_RNA from 1 species
GCAAACUUGGUCAUUUAGAGGAAGUAAAAGUCGUAACAAGGUAACCGUAGGUGAACCUGCGGUUGGAUCAUUACAAAAUGAUAUAUUUCUAGGUUUGGUAGUCUACAAAAGUAUGAUUCGCCUAGAAAUAUCAAUUCACCCAAUGUGCACUGUUUCUGUUUUUCGGGUGAUUUUUGAUUUUGCAGUUAAAUUUUCUUUCGAGAAUGUUAACGGUAAAAAGAAGAAAUUGCCCGGCAGUUUAUAAACCCAAUUUUAUAUUAUUUUGUCUGAUCAAUUUCUGAAAAUGAAAUGAUAAACAACUUUUGACAACGGAUCUCUUGGCUCUCGCAUCGAUGAAGAACGCAGC